rnacentral:ncRNA from 1 species
GAGUUUUAUUCUUGCUUAUUAUAUUUAUUUUAACAUUAAUCUAUAUGUAAAUUUUUGUGUUGUUUUAUUUCUAAAAGGAUUAAAACUAGAAAUUAGCAGUAGAUAAUUUUAUUAAUAUUAAGUUAAUUUAGAUUUGGUAAAUGUUAUUUAGGAUUGGUAAAAGCUGUGCCAGCAUCCGCGGUUAUACAGCAAAUACAAAUAAAUAUUAUUGGUUUUUAAGUAAUUAUUAUAUUAUAAGUAUGAAAAUUAAUAUAUUUAGGGGUGAAAUAAUAAAUAUUUUGAGGAACAUAUAUUUAUAGUGAGAUUAUUAUGAAAUUAAAAAUAUAAACUAGGAUUAGAUACCCUAUUAUUUUUAUUGUAAAAUUUAAAACUAGAGUAUUAGUAGAUAUGAUCUUGAAACUUAAAGAAUUUGGCGGUAUUAUAGUCUAUUUAGAGGAAUCUGUUAUGUAAUCGAUAGUCCACGUUGAACCUUACUUAUAUUAUUUCUUGUAUACCGCUGUUUAUGAAUAUACUUUUAGGUUAUUUUCUUAAUAUAAUAAUAAUUAAUAUUUCAAGUCAAGGUGCAGUAAUAUCUAAGUUGAAUAAUGGAUUACAAUAAAUUGUAUUUAUUAUGGAUAAUUAUUGUAAAAUAAUUUGAAAGUGGAUUUAAUUGUAAUUUUGUGAAGAUUGUUAAAAUGAUUUAUAGCUCUAUAAUAUGCACACAUCGCCCGUCGCUCUCGUUAUUAAGAUGAGAUAAGUCGUAACAAAGUAGGUGUAUCGGAAGGUGUACCUAGAAAGUUUAAUAAUU